rnacentral:rRNA from 1 species
GACAGAGGCCCCAAGCGUUAGGCGGAAUCACUGGGCUUAAAGCGUGUGUAGGCGGACGCCUAAGUGUCUUGUGAAAUCCCACGGCUCACCCGUGGAACUGCUGGGCAUACUGGGCGUCUUGGGCCAACUAGGGGCAGCCGGAACAAGCGGUGGAGCGGUGAAAUGCGCAGAUAUCAGGAGGAACACCGAUGGCGAAGGCAGGUCUCUGGGCCGAUACUGACGCUGAGGAGCGAAAGCGUGGGGAGCGAACAGG